ensembl:lncRNA LOC120096727 uncharacterized LOC120096727
CUGGAACAUGAGGGUGCUGUAGUCUAGAACACGAGGUCACUACAACAAAACUAGUCACUGGAGACACUUUGAACACGAAAGUUGACUCUGCUGUCUUAACUGGCACCGUUGUGUGGGACUUUGGUUUAGUGACCACUUACAAUGAGAUGUACAAAUCCCCUGCUUCCUGUGUAACAGUCUCUACACCUCCGAGAGCCCUGCUUCCUGUGCAAGGCUGUCUCUACGUCUCCUAGGCAGUCUGUGGUCUCACAUGACACCCUGGACCUAAUCAUAUACUUUGGAUCAAAUUUUAUAUGGCUGUGAAUUUGUUUCCUAAUUACCUACGUUCAAAACCUUGAAUAAUUACAAAGACAAAAGGCACAUAAAAGCAAAAUAAAAAUUUCCCUCCUGGCUUUGUGUCAUUAAGGGGCCACCCAUUCCCAUUUUAAGACAAAGGGGGACCAAUCUAAUGGAUUAAAACUGCUGUAAACACAG